rnacentral:rRNA from 1 species
GACGAACGCUGGCGGCGUGCCUAAUACAUGCAAGUCGAACGCAGUGGGGACGGGUGAGUAACACGUGGUUAACCUCCCAUCAGAGGGGAUAACACUUGGAAACAGGUGCUAAACCGAUACUGAUGGAUGGACCCGCGGUGCAUUAGCUACUGGGUGAGGUAACGGCUCACCAAGGCCACGAUGCAUAGCGGGCCUGAGAGGGGGAUCGGCAACACUGGGACGGAGACACGGCCCAGACUCCUACGGGAGGCAGCAGUGGGGAAUCUUGGGCAAUGGACGAAAGUCUGACCGAGCAACGCCGCGUGAGUGAAGAAGGUUUUCGGAUCGUAAAACUCUGUUGUUAGAGAGGCGGUAUCUAACCAGAAAGCAACGGCUAACUACGUGCCAGCCGCCGCGGUAAUUC